GCGAACAGAUGAGAAGCUUGCUUCUCUGAUGUUAGCGGCGGACGGGUGAGUAACACGUGGGUAACCUACCUAUAAGACUGGGAUAACUCCGGGAAACCGGGGCUAAUACCGGAUAAUAUUUUGAACCGCAUGGUUCGAUAGUGAAAGACGGUUUCGGCUGUCACUUAUAGAUGGACCCGCGCCGUAUUAGCUAGUUGGUAAGGUAACGGCUUACCAAGGCGACGAUACGUAGCCGACCUGAGAGGGUGAUCGGCCACACUGGAACUGAGACACGGUCCAGACUCCUACGGGAGGCAGCAGUAGGGAAUCUUCCGCAAUGGGCGAAAGCCUGACGGAGCAACGCCGCGUGAGUGAUGAAGGUCUUCGGAUCGUAAAACUCUGUUGUUAGGGAAGAACAAAUUUGUUAGUAACUGAACAAGUCUUGACGGUACCUAACCAGAAAGCCACGGCUAACUACGUGCCAGCAGCCGCGGUAAUACGUAGGUGGCAAGCGUUAUCCGGAAUUAUUGGGCGUAAAGCGCGCGUAGGCGGUUUCUUAAGUCUGAUGUGAAAGCCCACGGCUCAACCGUGGAGGGUCAUUGGAAACUGGGAAACUUGAGUGCAGAAGAGGAGAGUGGAAUUCCAUGUGUAGCGGUGAAAUGCGCAGAGAUAUGGAGGAACACCAGUGGCGAAGGCGGCUCUCUGGUCUGUAACUGACGCUGAUGUGCGAAAGCGUGGGGAUCAAACAGGAUUAGAUACCCUGGUAGUCCACGCCGUAAACGAUGAGUGCUAAGUGUUAGGGGGUUUCCGCCCCUUAGUGCUGCAGCUAA
rnacentral:rRNA from 2 species